UAUUGCACACUGGGGGAAACCCUGAUGCAGCGACGCCGCGCGAGUGAAGAAGUAUCUCGGUAUUUAAAGCUCUAUCAGCAGGGAAGAAAAUGACGGUACCUGAUUAAGAAGCCUCGGCUAACUACGUGCCAGCAGCCGCGGUAACACGUAGCGGGCAAGCGUUAUCCGGAUUUACUGGGUGUAAAGGGAGCGUAGACGGCAGCACAAGUCUGGAGUGAAAUGCCGGGGCUUAACCCCGGAACUGCUUUGGAAACUGUGCAGCUAGAGUGCAGGAGAGGUAAGUGGAAUUCCUAGUGUAGCGGUGAAAUGCGUAGAUAUUAGGAGGAACACCAGUGGCGAAGGCGGCUUACUGGACUGUAACUGACGUUGAGGCUCGAAAGCGUGGGGAGCAAACAGG
rnacentral:rRNA from 1 species